CCGAGAGACAGGUGCUGCAUGGCCGUCGUCAGCUCGUGUCGUGAGAUGUUGGGUUAAGUCCCGUAACGAGCGCAACCCUUGUCCUUAGUUACCAGCACGUUAAGGUGGGCACUCUAAGGGAGACUGCCGGUGACAACGGAGGAAGUGGGAUGACGUCAAGUCAUCAUGGCCUUACGGCCUGGGCUACACACGUGCUACAAUGGUCGGUACAAAGGGUUGCCAAGCCGCGAGGUGGAGGCUAAUCCCAUAAAACCGAUCGUAGUCCGGAUCGCAGUCUGCAACUCGACUGCGUGAAGUCGGAAUCGCUAGUAAUCGCAGAUCAGCAUGCUGCGGUGAAUACGUUCCCGGGCCUU
rnacentral:rRNA from 1 species